CUGCGACUAUAAUAGAAACGGCCCAUAUUAUGCCCGUCUUUAUGGGGCCGGACUAAUAAUGGAUGAUAAAGCCUUCGGGUAUAACAUGAGAAAAUUAUACUCGUAUACCGAAUCAGUUGAUCUUUUUCUAUAUAAACUAAACCAAACUAGAUUAUUCAUAAUGAAGAAAAACGUGUCACAUGACAAUAUGAAACAAGAGUUCAGUUAGCUUCCUAGAAAGUAGAAACAUUUCUCGAUAAAAAAUGAGUUUGAGGGUUCAGAAUGAUGUUUACUUUCCGGUCCGGUUAAUAAAAUUAAAAAUGAAGGGAAAUGGCUCGAUAGCAAAUAACUAGCACUGUCUCUAACAGCGCACAUCUUCAAAACGAGUACGCUAAGGAGUCUCUCAAUCAAUCCUUUGCGAGAAAGGUUAUGACUAGAAGAAAUACAACAAACACAAAAAAAAUACAAUAAAAAAAAAAAAAAAAAAAAAA